CAGUCGCCACGGUAAUACGUAGGUGGCAAGCGUUGUCCGGAAUUAUUGGGCGUAAAGCGCGCGCAGGCGGAUAGGUCAGUCUGUCUUAAAAGUUCGGGGCUUAACCCCGUGAUGGGAUGGAAACUGCCAAUCUAGAGUAUCGGAGAGGAAAGUGGAAUUCCUAGUGUAGCGGUGAAAUGCGUAGAUAUUAGGAAGAACACCAGUGGCGAAGGCGACUUUCUGGACGAAAACUGACGCUGAGGCGCGAAAGCCAGGGGAGCGAACGGGAUUAGAUACCCGCGUAGUCCCUGUCUCUUAUACC
rnacentral:rRNA from 1 species